AAAAGGCACCUAAAAGACUCUCAUACCAUGAGAAACAAGAUUCUCUGGUCUGAUGAAACCAAGAUUGAACUCUUUGACGUGAAUGCCAAGCGUUACGUCUGGAGGAAACCUGGCACCAUCCCUACGGUAAAGCAUGCUUUUGGCAGCAUCAUGCUGUGGGGAUGUUUUUUCAGUGGCAGGGACUGGUAGACUAGUCAGGAUCGAGGGAAAGAUGAACAGAGUAAAGUUCAGAGAGAUCCUUGAUGAAAACCUGCUCAGGACCUCAGACUGGGGCGAAGGUUCACCUUCCAACAGGACAACAACCCUAAGCACAAAGCCAAGACAAAGCAGGAGUGGCUUCGGGACAAGCCUCUGAAUGUCAUUGAGUGGCCCAGCAAGAGCCCGGACUUGAACCCAAUCAAACAUUUCUAGAGAGACCUGAAAAGAGAUGUGCAGUGAUGCUCCCCAUCCAGCCUGACAGAGCUUGAGAGGGUCUGCAGAGGCCAAUGGGAGAAACUCCCCAAAUACAUGUGUGCCAAGCUUGUAACAUCAUACCCAAGACGACUCGAGGCUGUAAGCGCUGCCAAAGAUGCUUCAACAAAGUUCUGAUACUGCCUAAACCCCAGGUGAGCUACAAGUACACGUCUCCAGUGGUCAUCGACAGCCGUGUCCGGGCCCCCGGCGGAGAUAGUGUGGAACAGGGAGAGGGACAACCGAACUAUGGAACCCCUGUGACAUCAUAGUUACAGCAGGGGGAUGGGACCACCCUGGUCAUCAGCACCCUCACUGUCCAAUCAGGGCUGCUGAAGGACGUGUUCAUCAAAUACCUGGUCCACCAUAAGGGUCUGGAGUCACCCAUCGAUGUUUCUAUGAACACCAAGAUUGAAUGGAGUCUAAAAGGAGGAGGUGAAACUCAGCCACUCAACGGCUGUUCCUGAACAUUCUACUGCACUUUCAGAAGUGAAGCAAGGCCCACAUCAAGAGGGUACAGAAUACAUUUCUGUCAUGAUCAACAUCACAGGGUCACUGAGAAACGGAUUCCAUCAACACAACUUCUCUUGUUUAAUCACAAUGACUUUCAGAGUAGAGGUGCUGAAAUGCAUUCAGAUGUCCCUUUUACAUCAUAAUGAAUAAGAUAGUAUUGACUGAGGAGACCUGAUCCUAGAUCUGCAAACCCACUUAGACUUUUUGUGAAUACUGGCCAGUAUGAUCACAACACAUCCUAACAGAACAGAUCUGAACCUAACCGUGUCCUCUCGUAACCCCAUUUGGCAUCCAUAUCUAUCAUGAAGUGUGAUGCUGACUGAGUAUUUUGUUCUUGUAACUGCUUUGGUUUCUUUGUGCCAUUCUAAAGUAUGUUACCAAGAUGAAUGUGGUUCUCACAACCUAAUGGACCUAGGUUGUAGGAAAACUCUGAAGGAAGUGAAAAUACAUUUUAGUAUUCAGUGAUCCUAGUGUAUUGUGAAUGCAGAUGAGUAGUUAUUGUUUGGGAUUUCUUACUGAGAUUAAUGGUCAAUUGUUUUGCGGGGGGAUUUAAAAUAAAUCAGUACUGAAAUUUUCAGAUGAAGUUUGAGUCAACUUGUUAUGGCUGCCAUCCCGUUAACGGGAUAAGUGUCAUCAACAACUGCUGUUGACUACAUUCAAUACAUAUUACUACAAAUAUUUAUAUUCAUGAAAUCACAAGUGCAAUAUAGGAAAACACAGUUUAGCCUUUUGUUAAUCCACCUGUUGUGUCAGAUUUUGAAAUUAUGCUUUACAGCGAAGGCAAUCCAAGCGUUUGUGAAAGUUUAUCGAUCGCAUGACAAAACAUUAAGUACACCUAGCAUCAGGAAGCUUGGUCACGAAAAUCAGAAAAGCAAUCAAAUUAAUCGUUUACCUUUGAUGAUCUUCAGAUGUUUUCACUCAAGAGACUCCCAGUUACACAACAAAUGUUCCUUUUGUUCCAUAAAGAUUAUUUUUAUAUCCAAAAUACCUCCGUUUGUUUGUUGCGUUAUGUUCAGAAAUCCACAGGAAAGAGCGGUCACGACAACGCAGACGAAAAUUCCAAAUUGUUCCAUAAUGUCCACAGAAACAUGUCAAACGUUUUUUAUAUUCAAUCCUCAGGUCGUUUUUUAAAUAUAUAAUCGAUAAUAUAUCUACCGCAAAUGUCUUUCACAGUAGGAGAGGGAAAAGCAAUACCUAUCCAAACUCUGUUGCGCGAGCAAAACUCAUGUGACCACUUGACGCGAUGUUAUCGUUCUGGCUCAUUUUUCAAAAUAAAAGCCUGAAACUAUGUCUGAAGACUGUUGACACCUUGAGGAAGCGAUAGGAAAGGGAAUCUGGUUCAUAUCCCUUUAAAUCCAGCAAAGGGAGGCUAUCAAACAUGGAGUUUUCAAAAUAGAAGCCACUUCCUGAUUUGAAUUUCCUCAGGGUUUCGCCUGCAAUAUCAGUUCUGUUAUACCCACAGACAAUAUUUUUGACAGUUUUGGAAACUUUAGAGUGUUUUCUAUCCAAUACUACUAAUAAUAUGCAUAUAUUAGCAACUGAGACUGAGGAGCUGGCCAUUUACAAUGGGUACCUUUUCAUCCAAGCUACUCAAUACUGCCCCUGCAGCCAUAAAAAGUGUAAAAUGUUCAAUUGCUUUCAUUAGCUUAUUUUCUCACUUCCAUGUGUUUAAGACAAGGGUUUUUGAAAUUAAGAACUUUUCCAAGACAAAAUCCAUUAACUUUAUUUUCAAGAAUCACAUUUCUUCUUAACAAUUUUCUGAGGAAGAAACUUAACUUAAGAACAUUUUCAAGAACUUUAUUGAGGAAUAGCAACUUUUUGUAUGUUUCUUCAGUAAAUACUAAAAAUAGUUGCACUUAAGAAUACAUUUCUUUUUAAGAUGGUUUUGUGAAUCCAGGCCCAGGUCUCAGACAUACUGUAGACCUCUUACUCAGAACUGUAGCAGGGUUUGAGAGAGUGCUAGACUCUAUGGUCAGAUACAAUUAUUUUAUAAAGCAUUAUGAUGAUCAAUGGUCUCAUUGAUUCCAUUUGAGGAAUAAUAAAUGUGGUUAGGAGUAAGAAAGUCAGCGUGUGUGUGUUUUUUCAGAUUCCAUGGUCAGAUGGUUUCAAUGUGAUUCCCA
ensembl:lncRNA